rnacentral:tRNA from 1 species
UAUAUUUAAGUAUAAGAAGUACAAAAAUUUUUGAAAUUUUAAGGAAUAGUUUAAUUCUAUUAAGUAUAA